UUGUUUCUGCAACAGCAGAAAGUGCACUCACUAGGAGUAGUCAGAAUUCAAAAUGCUCAAGAGAAAGCCAUCCAAUGUUUCAGAGAAGGAGAAACAUCAAAAACCAAAGGCUGAAGGGCUCAUUCAGCCGGGGUGGCAAGUCAGCAAAAGGCGUUAAUUGUGUCUAACACAGCUAUCAUCCUUGGGGCAAUAUUCUGUAUCACACCGUCUAUCAAGCUAACCCCUUGCCAGACCGAAGCAGCAGUUUUGGGAAUUUCGAUCGUUUUCGGAAUAAUUCUUUAU
rnacentral:sRNA from 1 species